UUUGCUUCGAUUCCCAAUUUCUAAUUUCUGUUUAACGUUUCAAUGUUCGAUUUGAGCAUAUGGCUCUACCCCCAGAUUCGAAAACCCCUAAGCUAGAUUUGAACUGUGUCAAAUACGUUUAUAAAAUCAACUUACCCAUUCUGAAAACCUUAAUUGUACGAAAUUUACAAAUGAUCGAAGUAGAGAAUCACAGGCAAAGAUACAGAGAAAAGGGCAAUCGAUUUACAUAGAGAUAUAGAACUUCAGAGAGAGAUCCAAGGGAACCCUAGAUCCUC
rnacentral:misc_RNA from 1 species